rnacentral:rRNA from 1 species
AGAGUUUGAUCCUGGCUCAGGAUGAACGCUAGCGACAGGCUUAACACAUGCAAGUCGAGGGGCAGCACAGGUAGCAAUACCGGGUGGCGACCGGCGCACGGGUGAGUAACGCGUAUGCAACUUGCCUAUCAGAGGGGGAUAACCCGGCGAAAGUCGGACUAAUACCGCAUGAAGCAGGGAUCCCGCAUGGGAAUAUUUGCUAAAGAUUCAUCGCUGAUAGAUAGGCAUGCGUUCCAUUAGGCAGUUGGCGGGGUAACGGCCCACCAAACCGACGAUGGAUAGGGGUUCUGAGAGGAAGGUCCCCCACAUUGGUACUGAGACACGGACCAAACUCCUACGGGAGGCAGCAGUGAGGAAUAUUGGUCAAUGGCCGAGAGGCUGAACCAGCCAAGUCGCGUGAGGGAUGAAGGUUCUAUGGAUCGUAAACCUCUUUUAUAAGGGAAUAAAGUGCGGGACGUGUCCCGUUUUGUAUGUACCUUAUGAAUAAGGAUCGGCUAACUCCGUGCCAGCAGCCGCGGUAAUACGGAGGAUCCGAGCGUUAUCCGGAUUUAUUGGGUUUAAAGGGAGCGUAGAUGGAUGUUUAAGUCAGUUGUGAAAGUUUGCGGCUCAACCGUAAAAUUGCAGUUGAUACUGGAUAUCUUGAGUGCAGUUGAGGCAGGCGGAAUUCGUGGUGUAGCGGUGAAAUGCUUAGAUAUCACGAAGAACUCCGAUUGCGAAGGCAGCUUACUGGACUGUAACUGACGCUGAUGCUCGAAAGUGUGGGUAUCAAACAGGAUUAGAUACCCUGGUAGUCCACACAGUAAACGAUGAAUACUCGCUGUUUGCGAUAUACAGCAAGCGGCCAAGCGAAAGCAUUAAGUAUUCCACCUGGGGAGUACGCCGGCAACGGUGAAACUCAAAGGAAUUGACGGGGGCCCG